rnacentral:tRNA from 1 species
GUCCAGGGAUGGGAAUCGAACCCAUAGUGUUCUGCUUACCGACCAAUGCCAUGUCCACUAGGCUACCCUGGA